rnacentral:rRNA from 1 species
AGUGAACGCUGGCGGUAGGCCUAACACAUGCAAGUCGAACGGCAGCACAGUAAGAGCUUGCUCUUACGGGUGGCGAGUGGCGGACGGGUGAGGAAUACAUCGGAAUCUACUUUUUCGUGGGGGAUAACGUAGGGAAACUUACGCUAAUACCGCAUACGACCUACGGGUGAAAGCAGGGGAUCUUCGGACCUUGCGCGAUUGAAUGAGCCGAUGUCGGAUUAGCUAGUUGGCGGGGUAAAGGCCCACCAAGGCGACGAUCCGUAGCUGGUCUGAGAGGAUGAUCAGCCACACUGGAACUGAGACACGGUCCAGACUCCUACGGGAGGCAGCAGUGGGGAAUAUUGGACAAUGGGCGCAAGCCUGAUCCAGCUAUACCGCGUGGGUGAAGAAGGCCUUCGGGUUGUAAAGCCCUUUUGUUGGGAUAGAAAAGCAGCAGGUUAAUACCCCGCUGUUCUGACGGUACCCAAAGAAUAAGCACCGGCUAACUUCGUG